GAUGAACGCUGGCGGCGUGCCUAAUACAUGCAAGUCGAGCGAACGGACGAGAAGCUUGCUUUUCUGAUGUUAGCGGCGGACGGGUGAGUAACACGUGGAUAACCUACCUAUAAGACUGGGAUAACUUCGGGAAACCGGAGCUAAUACCGGAUAAUAUUUUGAACCGCAUGGUUCAAAAGUGAAAGACGGUCUUGCUGUCACUUAUAGAUGGAUCCGCGCUGCAUUAGCUAGUUGGUAAGGUAACGGCUUACCAAGGCAACGAUGCAUAGCGACCUGAGAGGGUGAUCGGCCACACUGGAACUGAGACACGGUCCAGACUCCUACGGGAGGCAGCAGUAGGGAAUCUUCCGCAAUGGGCGAAAGCCUGACGGAGCAACGCCGCGUGAGUGAUGAAGGUCUUCGGAUCGUAAAACUCUGUUAUUAGGGAAGAACAUAUGUGUAAGUAACUGUGCACAUCUUGACGGUACCUAAUCAGAAAGCCACGGCUAACUACGUG
rnacentral:rRNA from 1 species